rnacentral:rRNA from 1 species
UACGAAGGGGGCUAGCGUUGUUCGGAAUUACUGGGCGUAAAGCGCACGUAGGCGGACAUUUAAGUCAGGGGUGAAAUCCCGGAGCUCAACUCCGGAACCGCCUUUGAUACUGGGUGUCUUGAGUAUGGAAGAGGUGAGAGGAAUUCCGAGUGUAGAGGUGAAAUUCGUAGAUAUUCGGAGGAACACCAGUGGCGAAGGCGGCUCACUGGUCCAUAACUGACGCUGAGGUGCGAAAGCGUGGGGAGCAAACAGG